UCAUCUCAUAAGAAGACCAAAUAGAAAGUUCUGUUGUGAAUUGGUUCAAACACUUAGACUGCUUUUCUACUUCUAGAAAGAAGGCAGAAUCUAGGAUUUCUGCUCAGGGUGCACAUUACUGCAGAGGCGAGUGGCACUCCAGGAGCAUUUUGAUGACUUAUUUUUAUGUGUGAGCGAGUUGAUUGAAAAUCCUCCUAGCUCCCACUUUACCUGGCCAUUUGGUGCUUGACUUUUGUCUUUGAGUGGAGCAGAACUACUGAUGAUAAUGGCAGCAGUGACUUCAGUUAAAGAAUCCCAGGGACCACCUGAGACUUUCUGCAGCUCCGUGAUUUCAGCUUUAUGACCCUUAAUUGACAUUUCAAAAAGGCUUUCCUUACCAUGUGCUGAUUGAAAAAUAAAUAGUUUAGCAAAGAGAGGUCCUUCUUUCCAUGAAUUUGUCCCCACUGGCCACUUAAAUAGUGUGUGUUUAGGUGAAGUACCCUUUACUUCUGUGGGAGGAAACAAAGACUUUUUAAAACCACAUUAUUGCUGCAGCCCCAGAAGCUGAGAAGAAAGAGAACAGAUGGGUGGCUCUUCUCAAAGAAUGGUGCCUUCAUCUGGAUUUCCUCUUCUUAAACAUUUAUCUUCUUGUUCCUUGAAGGCUUUUAGGAAUUAUUAAUUCCACAGUGGCUGCAUGGUAACUGUUGAUUAGUGGUGGCUUAUUUUGGAUUUUCAAAGAAGUCUCUGAUCUACCAAAGUGAGUGUGUCCAACAGAGGUACACAAAAGGAAGAUUCUAACCCCAAGAUGAUGUAGCUCUUGAAGAAAGCAGGAGAGACUUCUGGGACUUAUGAUGAUAAAGGUGGGUGUUGGGGGGAGGAAAAUAUGGCAUGGAACGAGUUUCAAGAGAGAAGAGUUUGUUUAGUAAUGAGGCAAAAAAAUUGUUUCUGGACACAAGAGAUUAAGUUUCAUAUUUGCAAUCUAGGAAGUAUAGUGUAGAGAGAAAGAUCAUGGACUCUUACCCCAGACGCUGGCUCCCUCCCAAUCCUGUGUCUGCCUCUUUCUGAGAGAACUCUACAAGUUACAUCCCAGUAUCUUAGGUGCCCAUCUGCGAUAAUGGGAAUAAUGACACUACCUACCUCACUGGGUUUCUGUGGUGUUUAAAUAUAUUAAUUUUGCAUGAAGGAUUUAGUACAGUGGCUAGCACAUAGUAAAUACUUUUAUAAUGUUAGUUACCUUUAUUAUUUAUAUUCCUCUUCUUUGCCUAUCAGUUU
rnacentral:lncRNA from 1 species